GUAGGGGGCUAGCGUUGUCCGGAUUUAUUGGGCGUAAAGAGCGUGUAGGCGGCCAGGUAGGUCCGGUGUGAAAACUCGAGGCUUAACCUCGAGAUGUCAUCGGAAACCAUUUGGCUAGAGUCCGGAAGAGGAGAGUGGAAUUCCUGGUGUAGCGGUGAAAUGCGCAGAUAUCAGGAAGAACACCUAUGGCGAAAGCAGCUCUCUGGGACGGUACUGACGCUGAGACGCGAAAGCGUGGGGAGCGAACAGGAUUAGAUACCCUGGUAGUCCACGCCGUAAACGAUGGGUGCUAGGUGUGGGCGGUGUCGACUCCGUCCGUGCCGAAGCUAACGCAUUAAGCACCCCGCCUGGGGAGUACGGCCGCAAGGCUAAA
rnacentral:rRNA from 1 species